GGUCCUACGGGACGCAGCAGUGGGGAAUAUUGGUCAAUGGACGCAAGUCUGAACCAGCCAUGCCGCGUGCAGGAAGACGGCUCUAUGAGUUGUAACCUGCUUUUGUACGAGGGUAAACGCAGAUACGCGUAUCUGUCUGAAAGUAUCGUACGAAUAAGGAUCGGCUAACUCCGUGCCAGCAGCCGCGGUAAUACGGAGGAUUCAAGCGUUAUCCGGAUUUAUUGGGUUUAAAGGGUGCGUAGGCGGUCGGAUCAGUUAUAUGUGAAAUCCUGAGGCUCAACUUCGGAAUUGCCUCUG
rnacentral:rRNA from 1 species